UACGUAGGGGGCAAGCGUUGUCCGGAAUCAUUGGGCGUAAAGCGCGUGUAGGCGGCCCGGUAAGUCCGCUGUAAAAGUCCAGGGCUCAACCCUGGAAGGCCGGUGGAUACUGUCGGGCUCGAGUCCGGAAGAGGCGAGUGGAAUUCCUGGUGUAGCGGUGAAAUGCGCAGAUAUCGGAAGGAACAUCAGUGGCGAAAGCGGCUUCCUGGUCCAGCACCGACGUUCAGGCACGAAAGCGUGGGGAGCAAACAGG
rnacentral:rRNA from 1 species